rnacentral:rRNA from 1 species
AGCAGCCGCGGUAAUUCCAGCUCCAAUAGCGUAUAUUAAAGUUGUUGCAGUUAAAAAGCUCGUAGUUGAAUUUCGGGAUCAAGGAAUCGGUCAUGCCUCGGUAUGUACUGGUUUUAUUGGUUCUCACCUUCUAAAGAACCAUGAUGUCAUUAAUUUGAUGUUAUGGGGAAUUAGGACUGUUACCUUGAAAAAAUUAGAGUGUUUAAAGCAGGCUUACGCUUGAAUACAUUAGCAUGGAAUAAUGAAAUAGGACAUCAGAUUCUAUUUUGUUGGUUUCUAGGAUCGAUGUAAUGAUUAAUAGGGAUAGUUGGGGGCAUUAGUAUUCAAUUGUCAGAGGUGAAAUUCUUGGAUUUAUUGAAGACUAACUACUGCGAAAGCAUUUGCCAAGGAUGUUUUCAUUAAUCAAGAACGAAAGUUAGGGGAUCGAAGACGAUCAGAUACCGUCGUAGU